rnacentral:ncRNA from 1 species
GGACUCGGGGAAUCCGACUGUCUAAUUGAAAUAGAGGAGGCAGACGGUCCUUGUGGACGUUGAUUGUCUCUGAUUUGUGCCCAGUGCUCUGAAUGUAAAAGUGAAGAAAUUCAACGAAGCGCGAGUAAACGGCGGGAGUAACUAUGACUCUCUUAAGGUAGCCAAAUGCCUCGUCAUCUAACUAGUGACGCGCAUGAAUGCGAAAUAAAUUUUU